rnacentral:pre_miRNA from 1 species
GCGGGGAGGCCGGAUCUUGGGCUGUGUCCCGGCGCCCUGUGCUCCGGGGCCUGCGCUGUUGGAUUCGCGCUCCGGCCACGCAGCCCCCU